AGUGAACGCUGGCGGUAGGCCUAACACAUGCAAGUCGAACGGCAGCACAGUAAGAGCUUGCUCUUACGGGUGGCGAGUGGCGGACGGGUGAGGAAUACAUCGGAAUCUACUUUUUCGUGGGGGAUAACGUAGGGAAACUUACGCUAAUACCGCAUACGACCUACGGGUGAAAGCAGGGGAUCUUCGGACCUUGCGCGAUUGAAUGAGCCGAUGUCGGAUUAGCUAGUUGGCGGGGUAAAGGCCCACCAAGGCGACGAUCCGUAGCUGGUCUGAGAGGAUGAUCAGCCACACUGGAACUGAGACACGGUCCAGACUACUACGGGAGGCAGCAGUGAGGAAUAUUGGACAAUGGGCGCAAGCCUGAUCCAGCCAUACCGCGUGGGUGAAGAAGGCCUUCGGGUUGUAAAGCCCUUUUGUUGGGAAAGAAAAGCAGCAGGUUAAUACCCCGCUGUUCUGACGGUACCCAAAGAAUAAGCACCGGCUAACUUCGUG
rnacentral:rRNA from 1 species